rnacentral:lncRNA from 1 species
UCUUAUCAUGUAGUUCAGUACAACCUGUUGUAUGAUGAGGUCGUCAGCAAGUAUACCGGCUUCCCCACCAGGCUUGGCUAAUGAGGAGGGUAGCUAGAAACUUAACAUAAACAAUACUCGAUAAUCGGCGGAUGGAAACAGAGUAUUGCUAUUUUCACUUAUUCCAUGGUGCCAUGAUGUCCUAUAAAAGUCAAAGAAACAAUGUGGUUACAAGAGCAGGCAAAGAAAAAUUUAAACUAGGCAACCUGAAUAUCACACAUAACUGUUUAUAUACGUGAUUUGACUUGAAACAACAACAGUCAAGCUUUGUCUUUCCUCAAGCAAACUACUGAAAACAUGCAAUGUUUUGAUGUUUAUUGCAAAGCAGUCUGCCCAGAUAUUAUUAUCAACCAUUUAUCUAAUAUUUUUAAUAGAAGCAACUUUAAGAAGGUCAGUUCAUAACUACAGAUACUUAAAGCAAGAACACAAGAAACAGAAGAUCAAAUCAAUUAUAAUUCAUGGAAUGGAGAUAAGUGAAGCAUUAUCAGAUGUCUGAUACCAGCCCAUUGAUCCUGUAGGAAAAAGAAAGGUCAACAACACCUUGGUAAUAAGUUCUUGGCAUUCUAUAACAGUUAAUUGAAGACAGGGAAAAAGUGGCAGUUAAAAGACUGAAUGUCAGGUGAGUAGACGUAGCAAGGUAAAUGUUACCGACUACCCACUCUGUCCUCCA